rnacentral:rRNA from 1 species
UACGAAGGGGGCAAGCGUUACUCGGAAUUACUGGGCGUAAAGCGUGCGUAGGUGGUGAGUUAAGUCUGUCGUGAAAUCCCCGGGCUUAACCUGGGAACUGCGCUUGUAACUGGCAAGCUUGAGUGUGGCAGAGGGGGGUGGAAUUCCACGUGUAGCAGUGAAAUGCGUAGAGAUGUGGAGGAACACCGAUGGCGAAGGCAGCCCCCUGGGCUAACACUGACGCUCAUGCACGAAAGCGUGGGGAGCAAACAGG